AUUGAACGCUGGCGUCAGGCCUAACACAUGCCAGUCGAGCGGAUGAAGGGAGCUUGCUCCUGGAUUCAGCGGCGGACGGGUGAGUAAUGCCUAGGAAUCUGCCUGGUAGUGGGGGAUAACGUCCGGAAACGGGCGCUAAUACCGCAUACGUCCUGAGGGAGAAAGUGGGGGAUCUUCGGACCUCACGCUAUCAGAUGAGCCUAGGUCGGAUUAGCUAGUUGGUGGGGUAAAGGCCUACCAAGGCGACGAUCCGUAACUGGUCUGAGAGGAUGAUCAGUCACACUGGAACUGAGACACGGUCCAGACUCCUACGGGAGGCAGCAGUGGGGAAUAUUGGACAAUGGGCGAAAGCCUGAUCCAGCCAUGCCGCGUGUGUGAAGAAGGUCUUCGGAUUGUAAAGCACUUUAAGUUGGGAGGAAGGGCAGUAAGUUAAUACCUUGCUGUUUUGACGUUACCAACAGAAUAAGCACCGGCUAACUUCGUG
rnacentral:rRNA from 1 species